rnacentral:rRNA from 1 species
GACGAACCGUGCGAACGUUAUUCGGAAUCACUGGGCUUAAAGCGCGUGUAGGCGGGACGGCACGUCUGUCGCUGAAAUCCCCCGGCUUAACCGGGGAACUGGCGUAGAUACGACCGUCCUUGAGGGGCGUAGGGGGAUCUGGAACUUCCGGUGGAGCGGUGAAAUGCGUUGAGAUCGGAAGGAACGCCCGUGGCGAAAGCGGGGUCCUGGACGCCUACUGACGCUGAGACGCGAAAGCCAGGGGAGCGAACGGG